rnacentral:rRNA from 1 species
GACGAACGCUGGCGGCGUGCUUAACACAUGCAAGUCGAACGGAAAGGCGCUGCUCUUGCGGGGUGCUCGAGUGGCGAACGGGUGAGUAACACGCGUGUAACCUCUCCUUGUCUUUGUGAUAACACUUGGAAACUGGGGCUAAUACCGGAUAGGAGCUCUUGCUGCACGGGGGGGGUUGGAAAGUUUCGGCGGUUCGGGAUGGACUGGAGGGUUAUCAGCUUGUUGGUGGGGUUGUGGCUGUCCACGGCUUUGACGGGUAGCCGACCUGAGAGGGUUGCCGGCGACAUUGGGACUAAGGUACGGCCCAGACGCCUACGGGAGGCAACAGUGGGAAAUAUUACAGAGUGGGCGGGAGCCUGAUGCGACAGCGCCGCGUGCGGAAUGACGGCCUUCGAGUUAUAAACCGCUUUCGCCGGUGACGAAGCGUGAGUGACGGUAAUGGGUAAGGAAGCACCGGCUAACUACGUG